UACUUUCUUUCGCAUGAAGGAAAGUUGAAAGAUGGCUUCUCGCUAUCACUUACAGAUGGGCCCGCGGCGCAUUAGCUAGUUGGUGAGGUAACGGCUCACCAAGGCGACGAUGCGUAGCCGACCUGAGAGGGUGAUCGGCCACACUGGGACUGAGACACGGCCCAGACUCCUACGGGAGGCAGCAGUAGGGAAUCUUCCGCAAUGGACGAAAGUCUGACGGAGCAACGCCGCGUGAACGAUGAAGGUCUUCGGAUCGUAAAGUUCUGUUGUUAGGGAAGAACAAGUACCGUGCGAAUAGAGCGGUACCUUGACGGUACCUAACGAGGAAGCCCCGGCUAACUACGUGCCAGCAGCCGCGGUAAUACGUAGGGGGCAAGCGUUGUCCGGAAUUAUUGGGCGUAAAGCGCGCGCAGGCGGUUCCUUAAGUCUGAUGUGAAAGCCCACGGCUCAACCGUGGAGGGUCAUUGGAAACUGGGGAACUUGAGGACAGAAGAGGAGAGUGGAAUUCCACGUGUAGCGGUGAAAUGCGUAGAUAUGUGGAGGAACACCAGUGGCGAAGGCGACUCUCUGGUCUGUUUCUGACGCUGAGGUGCGAAAGCGUGGGUAGCAAACAG
rnacentral:rRNA from 3 species